GGAGAGGUGCUAUCUAUCUGCACCUAGAGGUGCUGGGCCUGGCUGAGGGCCGGCCCAGUCUCUUCAUAGGUGACAGAGUGGCACUGAAGAAGCCAAUCAGUGGAGGCGUGGUGAUGGAGUACAUCGGUUAUGUCACAGAGAUCAGUGACGAGGACGUGAG